rnacentral:tRNA from 1 species
CAUUAAAUGGCUGAAAGUAAGUAAUGGUCUCUUAAACCAAGUAUAAUAUAGUAACAAAUAUUUUUAAUGA